rnacentral:rRNA from 1 species
CGCCUCUUGCAAACAAUGAAUAAGAGGUCCCGCCUGCCCUGUGACUAUGUGUUUAACGGCCGCGGUAUUUUGACCGUGCAAAGGUAGCGCAAUCACUUGUCCUUUAAAUGAGGACCUGUAUGAAUGGCACAACGAGGGCUUAACUGUCUCCUUUUUCAAGUCAAUGAAAUUGAUCUUCCCGUGCAGAAGCGGGAAUAAAGACAUAAGACGAGAAGACCCUAUGGAGCUUUAGACACAAAACAGAUCACGUCAAACAACCUCCAAUAAGAGUAUAAACUAAGUGAGCCCUGCUUAAAUGUCUUUGGUUGGGGCGACCGCGGGGUAACAAAAAACCCCCAAGUGGAAUAAAAACACCCUUUUUAAAACUAAGAGCUACCGCUCUAAUGAACAGAAUAUCUGACCUGUGAGAUCCGGCCCAGCCGAUCAACGAACCGAGUUACCCUAGGGAUAACAGCGCAAUCCUCUUUUAGAGCCCAUAUCGACAAGAGGGUUUACGACCUCGAUGUUGGAUCAGGACAUCCUAAUGGUGCAGCCGCUAUUAAGGGUUCGUUUGUUCAACGAUUAAAGUCCU